CUACGGGGGGCUGCAGUGAGGAAUAUUGCACAAUGGGGGGAACCCUGAUGCAGCAACGCCGCGUGGAGGAUGACGCAUUUCGGUGUGUAAACUCCUUUUAUAUGUCAAGAAAAUGACGGUAGCAUAUGAAUAAGCGCCGGCUAACUCCGUGCCAGCAGCCGCGGUAAUACGGAGGGCGCAAGCGUUACUCGGAAUCACUGGGCGUAAAGGACGCGUAGGCGGUAUGAAAAGUCAGGUGUGAAAGCCUACAGCUUAACUGUAGAACUGCACUUGAAACUCUCAAUCUAGAGUAUGGGAGGGGCAGAUGGAAUUAGGGGUGUAGGGGUAAAAUCCGUAGAUAUCACUAGGAAUACCUAAAGCGAAGGCGAUCUGCUGGAACAUUACUGACGCUAAGGCGUGAAAGCGUGGGGAGCAAACAGGAUUAGAUACCCCAGUAGUC
rnacentral:rRNA from 1 species